rnacentral:rRNA from 1 species
ACGUAGGUGGCAAGCGAUACUCGGAAUCACUAGGUGUAAAGCGCAGGUAGGAGGUUGGAUAAGUCCGUUGUGAAAGCUCCCGGCUUAACUGGGAGAGGCCAACGGAAACUAUCCGGCUGGAGUGCGGUAGAGGUAGCUGGAAUUCCCGGUGUAGCGGUGAAAUGCGUAGAUAUCGGGAGGAAUACCUAUGGCGAAAGCAGGCUACUGGACCGUCACUGACUCUGAUCUGCGAAAGCUAGGGGAGCAAACAGGA